UUUAACUGAAGAGUUUGAUCAUGGCUCAGAUUGAACGCUGGCGGCAGGCUUAACACAUGCAAGUCGAGCGGGGGAAGGUAGCUUGCUACUGGACCUAGCGGCGGACGGGUGAGUAAUGCUUAGGAAUCUGCCUAUUAGUGGGGGACAACAUCUCGAAAGGGAUGCUAAUACCGCAUACGUCCUACGGGAGAAAGCAGGGGAUCUUCGGACCUUGCGCUAAUAGAUGAGCCUAAGUCGGAUUAGCUAGUUGGUGGGGUAAAGGCCUACCAAGGCGACGAUCUGUAGCGGGUCUGAGAGGAUGAUCCGCCACACUGGGACUGAGACACGGCCCAGACUCCUACGGGAGGCAGCAGUGGGGAAUAUUGGACAAUGGGGGGAACCCUGAUCCAGCC
rnacentral:rRNA from 1 species